rnacentral:rRNA from 1 species
CAGCAGCCGCGGGAAUACGUAGGGUGCGAGCGUUAAUCGGAAUUACUGGGCGUAAAGCGUGCGCAGGCGGUUAUAUAAGACAGAUGUGAAAUCCCCGGGCUCAACCUGGGACCUGCAUUUGUGACUGUAUAGCUAGAGUACGGUAGAGGGGGAUGGAAUUCCGCGUGUAGCAGUGAAAUGCGUAGAUAUGCGGAGGAACACCGAUGGCGAAGGCAAUCCCCUGGACCUGUACUGACGCUCAUGCACGAAAGCGUGGGGAGCAAACAGGAUUAGAUACCCCCGUAGUCCCUGUCUCUUAUAC